rnacentral:rRNA from 1 species
AACGAACGCUGGCGGCAGGCUUAACACAUGCAAGUCGAACGGGCGUAGCAAUACGUCAGUGGCAGACGGGUGAGUAACACGUGGGAACCUUCCUAGGGGUACGGAACAACUCAGGGAAACUUGAGCUAAUACCGUAUACGUCCGUGAGGAGAAAGAUUUAUCGCCCUUAGACGGGCCCGCGUCGGAUUAGCUAGUUGGUGGGGUAACGGCCUACCAAGGCGACGAUCCGUAGCUGAUCUGAGAGGAUGAUCGGCCACACUGGGACUGAGACACGGCCCAGACUCCUACGGGAGGCAGCAGUGGGGAAUCUUGGACAAUGGGCGCAAGCCUGAUCCAGCCAUGCCGCGUGAGUGAAGAAGGCCUUCGGGUUGGUUAAA